rnacentral:rRNA from 1 species
GAUGAACGCUAGCGGGAGGCCUAACACAUGCAAGCCGAGCGGUAUUGUUUCUUCGGAAAUGCGAGAGCGGCGUACGGGUGCGUAACACGUGUGCAACCUGCCUUUAUCUGGGGGAUAGCCUUUCGAAAGGAAGAUUAAUACUCCAUAAUAUAUUGAACGGCAUCGUUUAAUAUUGAAAGCUCCGGCGGAUAGAGAUGGGCACGCGCAAGAUUAGCUAGUUGGUGAGGUAACGGCUCACCAAGGCGAUGAUCUUUAGGGGGCCUGAGUGGGUGAUCCCCCACACUGGUACUGAGACACGGACCAGACUCCUACGGGAGGCAGCAGUGAGGAAUAUUGGUCAAUGGGUGCAAGCCUGAACCAGCCAUCCCGCGUGAAGGACGACUGCCCUAUGGGUUGUAAACUUCUUUUGUAUAGGGAUAAACCUACCCUCGAGAGGGUAGCUGAAGGUACUAUACGAAUAAGCACCGGCUAACUCCGUG